CGUGGAAUGGCAUGCACUUGUGGAGGGACAAUUGUUUAUUGAGUUCCCUGUUUAUUACUGUUAUCUCAUCUGACCCCCACAGCAAAUAGACAGAGUAGGCAUGAAGUUCUCAGCCCAUGAGUGAGCUAGAGCCCGCACUGGAGCCCAGUUCACCUGUCCCGUCACCCAUGCCCCAUUUACCUGCUUUCUGGAAGUGUUAUGGUUCACCCUCCAUGGAACCAGUCCAGAACGUGUGCAUUGUCCACCCCUGCUGCGAACUUUCUCUGUGAGGCUCCAACUGCAGCUGGUGGGGCUUCCCUCUGUCCACCCUCAUCCCAAACUGACAGGGCUCUUACCAAGUACAUCAUCUUCAGGAAUCUCUCUUUGAUACCCUCCCCUUACCCUCACCCAACUCCUACCCUCUCCUAACCCUGUGAACAUUUAACCUUCAACUGGCUCACUGGCCAUGAACCUGGUAGGGGCCUCUUCAUGUAUUGGGUGAGUCUUCCUUUAGCGUUAAACUUCCCUAGGCCUAGUAAAUUGUGUCACCUUUCCCUGGUUGUGUUCACCAAUUACGUAGCCGACUCUGGUGACAGGUGCUAUACAGGGUAUAGGUUAAUUGCGUCACUCUAAACCGUUGAGGUGAUCUCACUGUUGAACGGUUUUUACUGGGUUCUCUUUGUACAGUUGUUAUUCCAGGCUGAUGACGUCACUUCUCUGUGUCAGCCCCAGCACUACCAGGAAACUGUGUGGAACUGUCCUUUACCUGUAUUGCUCGCUCUGACCGUGUUGACCCUGAGAUGCAUGUUUUGUACUAUAUUGAAAAAAAAUGUUUAUUUUCCUUAAAGUUGUGCUAUUAUGUGUGAAAUUGUACAUACUCUAAGUGAUGUAGUUUUGACCGGUUUUAUUUGGUUGACAUGAUUUUAUAUUAAAAGAGAAUGCUGCUUUCA
rnacentral:lncRNA from 1 species